rnacentral:rRNA from 1 species
ACGGAAGGCAGCAGUGGGGAAUAUUGGGCAAUGGGCGCAAGCCUGACCCAGCAAUGCCGCGUGAAGGAUGAAGGUCUUCGGAUUGUAAACUUCUUUGAUUGGGGAAGAAUAAAUGACCUACCCAAAGAACAAGCUCCGGCUAACUACGUGCCAGCAGCCGCGGUAAUACGUAGGGAGCAAGCGUUAUCCGGAUUUACUGGGUGUAAAGGGAGCGUAGACGGCAAAGCAAGUCUGAAGUGAAAUCCCGGGGCUCAACCCCGGAACUGCUUUGGAAACUGUUUAGCUAGAGUGCAGGAGAGGUAAGCGGAAUUCCUAGUGUAGCGGUGAAAUGCGUAGAUAUUAGGAGGAACACCAGUGGCGAAGGCGGCUUACUGGACUGUAACUGACGUUGAGGCUCGAAAGCGUGGGGAGCAAACAGGAUUAGAUACCCUGGUA